AGUAUUCAGGAACGGAUAACAAACUCAUGUUUAGAACCAAAAGUAACAGAAUUAUCCAGUUAUACUUGAAAACUCCAUACAUAUUCAUACACAAGCUUACUAUAUGCUGUACAUGUGUCAUAAUAUGAAUUUGAAAAUUUACUAAGGGUAGAAGUAUUUGCAGUUCUUCUAUUGUAGUAAGUGACAAUAUAU